GAUCCCAAGAGGGGCCAGUGCAUCAGGUGCGGGUGCCACCCCGAGGGCUCGGCGACGGGCCAGUGCCACCCCGAGAGCGGCCAGUGCCAGUGCAAGAGGCUCUACACGGGGCGCCAGUGUGACCGAUGCAUCAGCGGCCACGGGGCGUGAACGAGGGCUGCCCCGCGUGCCAGUGCCACCCCGAGGGAUCUUCGAGUGCCAUCUGCGAUCCCUUCACGGGCCAGUGCCCUUGUAAUCCGGGUGUGACUGGCCGGCGCUGCAACGAGUGUCUUCCCGAUCACUACGGGACGCUGGCUGAAGGCUGUGCGAGUGAG